rnacentral:rRNA from 1 species
GGCAGCCUACGGGGGGCAGCAGUGGGGGAUAUUGCACAAUGGGGGAAACCCUGAUGCAGCAACGCCGCGUGGGUGAAGAAGCGCCUCGGCGCGUAAAGCCCUGUCAGCAGGGCAGAAAAUGACGGUACCUGAAGAAGAAGCCCCGGCUAACUACGUGCCAGCAGCCGCGGUAAUACGUAGGGGGCAAGCGUUAUCCGGAUUUACUGGGUGUAAAGGGGGCGCAGACGGCGAUGCAAGCCAGGAG